ACAAGAAGAACAAGACCCAACUUUACACCCGAAUUUAGACUGGAAUGUGCUCAGUUAGUCGUUGAUAAAGGCUACUCUGUGAUUGAAGCAUCAAAAGCGAUGAAUGUGGGU
rnacentral:sRNA from 1 species